UGUCACCAACAUCUCUU
rnacentral:sRNA from 1 species